rnacentral:rRNA from 1 species
AGUCGAUCCUAAUGUCGCUCCUAGACGGAGCAUGACAGAAAGGGAAAUAGGUUAAUAUUCCUAUACUGCCUUAUUAUAUGUGGUAACACAGACCUUAUAGUUGACGCUUUUGGCUAGGCGGACGAGAACUGUCGUUUUCGUUAACUGGCAUAAGUGCAGGGAGUAUUGUUAUGAUGAGAACUGCAUUAAAGCUAGGAACAGCGCUCCUUUGGAGCGUUCCGCUGAUGCCCGGAGCCCGUGAAAAAACUAUAAGGAUAGAUAUAAGGUAUUCGUACCCAGAACCAGCACUGGUGCCCCUGGGCGAGAAGCCCAAAUUGUGAAGGUGACAAUCUAGUUAAGGGAACUCGGCAAAUUGGCUCCGUGACUUCGGUUUAAGGAGUGCCUGCUCUUGUUUACGCGAGAGCAGGUCGCAGUGGCCAAGAUGACCCGACUGUUUACCAAAAACGUAACCAGCUGCUAACCCGUAAGGGCUCGUACAGCCGGUGACGUCUGCCCAGUGACGGUAUCCAAACCUCCUUUUCAAGGGAGUUAAGGACCGUUAAACGGCGGGAGUAACUAUAACUCUCUUAAGGUAGCGUAAUGCCUUGUCGUUUGAAUGGCGACGUGCAUGAAGGGCGUAACGAGGUCGUCACUGUCCCUAACUAGCCUCCUCUGAACACACCAUUCUGGUGCAAAGGCCAGAGACUUCCUGUGGGAAGCGAAGACCCCGUGGAACUUUACUGUAGCUUGUAGCUGUGUCGCGUGUUUUGUUGCAUAGUGUAUGUGGGAGCUGCUAAGCGUGUUUUUUCGGAAACACGAUAGGCGCCAAUGUAACACCACACUUCGAGUCGUGCGACACUUACCAUGAAAAUGGGACAACUGCUGGCGGGCAGUUCGGCUGGGGUGGCACCCUGCUGAAAAGAUAUCAGUAGGGCCCCAUGGUUGGCUCAGUCGGGUCAGAAAUCCGACGUAGAGUGCAAAGGCAAAAGCCAGCCUGACAGGAUCCAUAACACGAUUGGAUCCUGCAUCGAAAGAUAGGCUUAGCGAACCUCCGUGUCCUCCUUGAUGGGGGCCGGAGACGACCGAAAAGUUACCCCGGGGGUAAUAGAGUUGUCGCGCCCGAGAGUUCGAAUCGACGGCGCGGCUUGCUACUUCGCUGUCGGCUCUCCCUAUCCUGGCUGCGCAGCAGCAGCCAAGGGUGAGGGAGUUCACCUGUUAAAAGGGAUCGUUAGCUGGGUUCACAUCGCUGUGAGGCAGAUGGUUUGAUAUCUACAGGAAGUGUGAGGAAGUCUGAAUGGAAGGAUCCUUUAGUACGAGAGGAACAAGGAUUCGUAGCCACUGGUCUACCGGUUGUCUGACAAGGCAUUAAGCCGGGCAGCUACGCUAUACGGGAUAAGUUCUGAAAGCAUCUAAGAACGAAGCCCUCCGUGAAAAGAGACUUCCUAGAGCAUGGGUAGAAGACCCGCUUAAUGGAGGUGGUGUAUAAGCAUCAAGGUAACGAGAUGUUCAGCACGCACCCCCCAACGCUCGUAUCUCUUGACC